GCGUUGUCCGGAAUUAUUGGGCGUAAAGGGCUCGUAGGCGGUUUGUCGCGUCGGGAGUGAAAUCCUCAGGCUUAACUUGGGGCUUGCUUUCGAUACGGGCAGACUGGAGGUAUGCAGGGGAGAACGGAAUUCCUGGUGUAGCGGUGAAAUGCGCAGAUAUCAGGAGGAACACCGGUGGCGAAGGCGGGUCUCUGGGCAGUAACUGACGCUGAGGCGCGAAAGCGUG
rnacentral:rRNA from 1 species